UACGAAGGGGGCUAGCGUUGCUCGGAAUUACUGGGCGUAAAGCGCACGUAGGCGGUCUUUUAAGUCGGGGGUGAAAUCCUGGAGCUCAACUCCAGAACUGCCUUCGAUACUGGGAGUCUUGAGUCCGGGAGAGGUGAGUGGAACUGCGAGUGUAGAGGUGAAAUUCGUAGAUAUUCGCAAGAACACCAGUGGCGAAGGCGGCUCACUGGCCCGGUACUGACGCUGAGGUGCGAAAGCGUGGGGAGCAAACAGG
rnacentral:rRNA from 1 species